UACGAAGGGGGCUAGCGUUGCUCGGAAUCACUGGGCGUAAAGCGCACGUAGGCGGACUCUUAAGUCGGUGGUGAAAUCCUGGAGCUCAACUCCAGAACUGCCUUCGAUACUGGGAGUCUCGAGUCCGGGAGAGGUGAGUGGAACUGCGAGUGUAGAGGUGAAAUUCGUAGAUAUUCGCAAGAACACCAGUGGCGAAGGCGGCUCACUGGCCCGGUACUGACGCUGAGGUGGCGAAAGCGUGGGGAGCAAACAGG
rnacentral:rRNA from 1 species